rnacentral:sRNA from 1 species
CAACGAUUCCGACAGCGCCAUCCAGGCCCCCUGGGGGCGCCCGUCUCCCACAGCAAAGGUGAGGGACAAGGGUCGCUGUACCAGCCAGCCCCCCAACUCUUUGUGGACCCACCAGCUCCUUGGGGGAGGAGGCUUCCUUCUUGUCCCCUGUGUCUCCUGCAAGCUCUGUCCACUUCCGCACUGGCCCUGGGCCCAGUGGUUGCCUUGUGCCUCCCAGGACCUGGUGUGGGAUGGGAGAACUCCGCUGAGACCCUGCAGGAACACGAAACAGAUGCCAACCGAGAGGGCCCCGAGGCACAGGAACCGGAGAAACAUCCCCUCACCCCAUCCCUCAGCCAGUGACACCGUGGGAACAGCAGGCUUGGGAGUGCAGCCUUCUCGGCACUGGAGUGUCAGCGGAGGCCCCAGGCAGCCCAAGAGCUCAGGGAGCCAGGGACCCCAAGGGGAGUCCUUGGACAAGGAGGCCUGGGCCCUGAGAUCCUCCACGGUCAGCGCCGGGGCCCGGAGAUGGAGCUGGGACGAGUGUGUGGACAGGGGGGAUGGCUGGCCCCCACGAGCAGCUCCAGGCCGGAGUUCUGGUUCUUCCAGGUGGCUCCCGCUGAGGCAGCGGUCUCUGGGGGAUCCCCCAGCUGAAGGAGGCUGGCAGGAGUCGGCAAGAGAACCCCGUGCCCUGUCCAGGUGGGGAGCUGAGUCCCAGUGCUGGGGGACUGUGGCCUGGGCUGAUCUUGAGCCUUAACUGGACAUGAGGGGCAUGAGAAUAAAGCUGAACUGCAGCCUCC